rnacentral:rRNA from 1 species
AAAUUGAAGAGUUUGAUCAUGGCUCAGAUUGAACGCUGGCGGCAGGCCUAACACAUGCAAGUCGAACGGUAACAGGAAGCAGCUUGCUGCUUCGCUGACGAGUGGCGGACGGGUGAGUAAUGUCUGGGAAACUGCCUGAUGGAGGGGGAUAACUACUGGAAACGGUGGCUAAUACCGCAUAACGUCGCAAGACCAAAGAGGGGGACCUUCGGGCCUCUUGCCAUCAGAUGUGCCCAGAUGGGAUUAGCUGGUUGGUGAGGUAACGGCUCACCAAGGCGACGAUCCCUAGCUGGUCUGAGAGGAUGACCAGCCACACUGGAACUGAGACACGGUCCAGACUCCUACGGGAGGCAGCAGUGGGGAAUAUUGCACAAUGGGCGCAAGCCUGAUGCAGCCAUGCCGCGUGUAUGAAGAAGGCCUUCGGGUUGUAAAGUACUUUCAGCGGGGAGGAAGGUGUUGCGGUUAAUAACCGCA